UCUUUCUCCAUCUGCCACUAGAUGGUAUUGCACCAGCAGCGCUUCCCGGAUGCUCUGCACCCUCGCUGAGACGAAGCCUCUGGAUGCCAGCAAGUUUAGAGGGCUCCGUCUGCACAGGCUCCGUUUUCCAUCCAAAUUUUGUAAUGCGCUCCCUGCUACACAUGGGCCCAAAUGGACAGCCUUGAGAAGAGGAUGAAGCUGCUGUGCCAGACCAUGAGCUGCAUGAGGAGCACCAGAAUGAGGAGCAGCACUGGGUUGCAGAAAUGAGGGCUGUGUGCAUGAAAACAC
ensembl:lncRNA